AGUGCCUCACUGUGCCAGGUGGAAAAUGUUUUCAUCAGAAUCCCGAGGACCUGAGUGAUGGACGGCUGCUGACUUUGCACGCCUGCGUGUGUGUGUGUGUGUGCGUGUGUGCACCGGUGCCCAUGAACAUGUGUUUAAGGAGAAUGGAGGUGGGUGGCUAUUUCUUUGCUCGUUCUUUUUUUCAUUUUCCCCCUUUUUCUUUCUUUUUUAAUUACAUGUUCCUGACAAAGAGGUGUGUCCCUGGCACUGCAGCUGAGACUCUCCUCCACCUCUGACCACACGGGGAGACGAGUACAGAGGGCUUCUCAGCGCUCAGCAUGGUCCUCGGCAUCGAUGGAAACACCCGCUCCGGGCCAGCAAAGACCUGAGGCUUCUUGGGAAUGAGCAGUUUAGAAGCUCAGUUGGGAACACCUGAGUUGGCUAAGUGUGAUUCCCACUACCAUCACAUACUGAGAAGUAAACUCUAUGGCCAUCGCUGGAAAAACUCAGCAGGAAAUUGGCUAAAUCCUUACAUGUCCUCAAAUCAGUCCAUGCUUUUACUGUGGAUCGCAGAGCUUGGAUCUGGUCUUCACCAACAACUAACCUAGCUCCGAAGACACACAAGUAUCCCAUUCUCGAAAUGGGGUCAGGUACCACAGGAAUAUUUUAUUUUACUUUCUCCAAUUCAGAAGAGUCGCCUACCUCCUUCUGCUCUGGAUCCAAGUGUUCUCAGGACUUUCAGGACUUGGUGAAUUGAAGACACGGUUGGCUAUUGUGCUCCAUUUUGGACACAUUUCUCCAGCUUAUUUGUUCCAUGACAUCGUUGCUGAAACUCUCCCGAAGAGGCCUCCCUCCAAUGACGAUGGUAGCCCAAGAGGCUGCCAUCCGGUGACAUCAGACCUAUUGGCAGUAACCACAGUGGCACUUCUGACAAUAUGCCAAGAGUUCUAGGAGCCAGGCAUGAGGUGGGUAAUCCAAAUAACCAUUCCUGCCCAAGCUGCCCUCUGCUGAGACAACCCACCACUAAUUAAAGGCCAUCUGUUUAUACCAUAUAGCCUAUCCUGCCAGAAGCAGCCAGAUGUCAGCACAUUACUCUAGUCCGUGACCUCUCUUAGGAUAUUAACAUGGAUUAUUUAUGGGUGGGCUGAGUUGGUUACUGUAUAUGAGCCUCCUUCCUGGUGCAUGGCUUAAGAAAUUAUAUUAUAUAUAAACUUUAUGACGAUACCAUUAAUUUUGGGUCUUGCCAAGUUCCAGACCUAUAUGCUCUGUA